CAGGAACAGAGGGGGUUGAGGGCCCUGCUCGAUGAGCUUACAUGCUAGAGGGAGUGGGGUAUAGUGACACAAAGGGUUAAAGUAGGGGAAUUAAAUAGUCUGUUACAGAAGGGUUUAUUGAGUGCUUGGUAGGUAAUUUUUGACAGGUGCAGGAACGGAGUCAUGGGGUGGGGAAUGAGAAACCUGCUAACAGUUUAAUUGAUACGCUUUAAUGAAGAAGUGAGUUUUCAAAGAUUUUUUGAAGGAGUGGAGGCUGGGUGAAAGUCUGAUUGAGGAGGGAAGGGAGUUACACAGAAUAG